CCUACGGGUGGCAGCAGUGGGGGAUAUUGCACAAUGGGGGGAACCCUGAUGCAGCGACGCCGCGUGGGUGAAUGAGCUUUUCGGCGCGUAAAGCCCUAUCUGCCGGGAAGAAGAUGACGGUACCUGACCAAGAAGCCCCGGCUAACUACGUGCCAGCAGCCGCGGUAAUACGUAGGGGGCAAGCGUUAUUCGGAUUUACUGGGGGUAAAGGGGGCGCAGGCGGCAAUGCAAGGCAGGAGUGAAAGCCCGGGGCCCAACCGCGGGACGGCUGGUGGAACUGCAUGGCUGGAGUACGGGAGGGGCAGGCGGAAUGCGUAGUGUAGCGGUGAAAUGCGGAGAUAUUAGGAGGAACACGGAUGGCGAAGGGGGCCUGCUGGACUGGGACUGACGUUGAGGCACGAAGGCGUGGGGAGCAAACAGGAUUAGAUACCCCGGGAGUC
rnacentral:rRNA from 1 species